CCCUGAUGCAGCGACGCAGCGUGCGGGAUGACGGCCUUCGGGUUGUAAACCGCUUUCAGCAGGGAAGAAGCGAAAGUGACGGUACCUGCAGAAGAAGUACCGGCUAACUACGUGCCAGCAGCCGCGGUAAUACGUAGGGUACGAGCGUUGUCCGGAAUUAUUGGGCGUAAAGAGCUCGUAGGUGGUUGGUCACGUCUGCUGUGGAAACGCAACGCUUAACGUUGCGCGUGCAGUGGGUACGGGCUGACUAGAGUGCAGUAGGGGAGUCUGGAAUUCCUGGUGUAGCGGUGAAAUGCGCAGAUAUCAGGAGGAACACCGGUGGCGAAGGCGGGACUCUGGGCUGUAACUGACACUGAGGAGCGAAAGCAUGGGGAGCGAACAGGAUUAGAUACCCUGGUAGUCCAUGCCGUAAACGUUGGGCACUAGGUGUGGGGGACAUUCCACGUUCUCCGCGCCGUAGCUAACGCAUUAAGUGCCCCGCCUGGGGAGUACGGUCGCAAGGCUAAAACUCAAAGGAAUUGACGGGGGCCCGCACAA
rnacentral:rRNA from 1 species